rnacentral:lncRNA from 1 species
CUUCCAAGAAGCUCAACGCACUUUUUGGUGUGAGUCAAAUUCAUCUGGGGCCUCAAUUACAAAGCAGAUACAGUAUUCAUGAAGGUGACUUUGCAAGAAAGGCAUACGGAAUUUCACAUUUGGGAGAUAAUUCAGUGUCAUGAAAAAACUAUCAAAACCAGCAAACAAUGUUCAUUUUCUUCCUGAAUCUGCAAAACUCUCAAAGAGAAUGAAAGUCACUGGGGAGACGUGUUUGGAGACAGCUUGCCUAUCUCGGGACACCUGAAUAUCCUCCUACAGUUGAGGAUGAACGUGUAUUCCAGCAACUAAGUUCUGGUAAGUUUUUUUCUUAAUUUUAUCAUGAAUAAUAAAAUUUUAUUUUCUUAGUUAACA